ensembl:Y_RNA Y_RNA Y RNA
GGCUGGUCUGAAGGCAGUGAGUUAUCUCAAUUGAUAGUUCACAGUCAGUUACAGAUUGAACUCCUUGUUCUACUCUUUCGCCCCUUCUCACUAUUGCACUUGACUAGUCUUUA